rfam:Salmo salar isolate Sally breed double haploid chromosome ssa05, whole genome shotgun sequence.
GGUGCAGUGGUCUAAGGCACUGCUUUUCAGUGGUAGAGGUGUCACUACAGACCCUGGUUCGAUUCCAGGCUGUAUCA